CCUGGCCCUCGCAGGAGGACGUGCCACCAGAAUCACAUGGUGGAAGCUCCAGGCCCUGCAAAGCUGUGGAGCAGAGGAGGCUCCCUGGGGCACAGAAGGUCCAGGGGAAGAGUCCAGAGACAUGCAGAGUCCAGGGAGAGGGUUCUGUCCCCUGGAAAGAAAGGACAGAUGUGUUUCUCAUGAAGAAAAGAGGCCUCCAGGGUCACUGGGAGCCAUGGGGGUCCUGGGGUCGGGAGCCUCAUCCUGGCUGGCAUUGCAGACCCCGGCUCUCGCCUCGGAGAUCUGUCUGGACCCGCAACACAGAAAUGGAAACCCACCAGGAAAAUCCACGAAGAGAGGAAGGGGAACCGGAGAAGCCCAGGAGGAGGAGGAGAUGCCUCCCCGGGGAACGCCCAGAUGACCAAGAGGUGCCCAGGCCUCUUAAUCCAACCCAAAAGGAAGCCACUUGUGGGCAGAUUUAUCUCCCGAGGUUUGUUUCCGGCCCUGAGUUUACCUGAGUUCGCCGGUGCACACGCAGGCGUGGCCGUCUGUCCUGACGGCGCUGCUGCCUCCUGGGUCUGAUGGAGUCCCGUCUACACCCGGAGCCCCCCUGCAGGACCCUCGUCACCGGGCCAGCCUCCCUGCUCCCGCUGGGGGAACCGGGGGGCGGCGAUGAAAGCUUUCCGCCUUUUUUUCCUGCCAAUGACCAAAUUCGAAUGUACAAUUUAAAAGCUACAUUGGCACUUUCCACCCCACUGCCUGCGAUGAUUGUGCCGAGAUUAUUAAACCCGUCAUAAAUAA
rnacentral:lncRNA from 12 species